rnacentral:rRNA from 1 species
AUGUGGAGUGAUGACCUUCAAGUGCAUGUACAUAUUUCUAAUUUCCAUGUUAUCUUAGCUACAAUAGUAAAUGUAGUGUCUAGAGAAGAGUUUGCUCUGGUUUGUGUUUACGGGGAUCCUUACCAUCGUCAGACAAACCAGAUUUGGGAUCUUGUAGCAUCUUUUGUGUAUGAUAAUGCCAACAAGCCAGUUGUCUGUAUGGGAGAUAUGAAUAACAUUUUGUAUGACGAUGAUAAGAACUCCCAGCAUGUUAAUAGUAAUCGUAUGCGCGCUUUUCGUAACAUUGUUAAAUCUUGUGGGUUUUUUGAUCUAGGAUAUAGUGGGCCUGCUUAUACUUGGACUAAUAAGCGAUAUUCUUCUGUGCCUAUCUAUGAACGCCUAGAUAGAUGCUUGGUAAAUGCUGAAUGGUGUGCUUUAUAUCCGAUCACUAAUGUCUAUAAUAUGCCGAUCACUAUUAGUGACCACGCUCCCAUUCUUGUCUCCACUGAAGGUAAUUUCAGAAAGCCUUUGCAAACUUUUAAAUUUGAAAAUUGGUGGCUCAUGGAAAAGGAUUUUAAUGAAUAUGCCAAAGUUGCUUGGAAUAGUACUGCUCAUAGGCCUUUCUAUGCUAGAACUAACCACCUUGCAGGAUCACUCAAGAAAUGGUGCAAGAAGAAGAAACCUCUAAAUCAGGAACUCAAUUCUCUGGAGGAACAAAUUAAGAAUAUUCAAAAAAAACCAUUGCAUGAGCAGGAUCACAACAUGGAAGCAGCCCUUGUUUGCAGGUUUGAGGAAAAUUUAACGAAGCUCACUCAAUUUUAUAGCCAGAGAGCUAAGAAACAUUGGGCGACAAAAGGAGAUAGGAACACCAGUUUUUUCCAUCAAGCUGUUCUCAAAAGGAGGAGGAAAAACCAAAUAGUUUCCAUCAGGGAUAACAAAAAUAUUACUCAUUUUAACCCAGAUAAAAUUGCGCACAUAUUUGUAGACUAUUUUAAAGAAAUCUUCAAGUCUAACAAUGCAGAUCUUGGGAGGCCGUACGAUGCAACAACAACAAACAAUGACAGCAGAGAUUGUACCAACACUAUCCCAGAUAAACAGGAGGUUUGGAGCAUUUUGAAGGAAAUGAAGGUCAAUGCAUCCCCAGGACCAGAUGGAUUCAAUGUGGCGUUCUACCUGGCGGCUUGGGAUUGGAUAGGAGAGGAUAUCACCAAUCUGGUAAGAAAAUUUUAUGAAACAGGGGUAAUGCCUAAUCAUAUAAAUAACACAAACAUUGUUCUAAUUCCUAAAAAACUUGUUUGUACUACUCCUGCUGAUUUUAGACCUAUUAGUCUCUGCAAUGUUGUUUAUAAAAUUAUUGCUAAAUCCUUGGCCAAUAGACUUAAACCACACCUCCCUAAUUUUAUUCAUCCUUCUCAACAAGCUUUUAUUGAAGGUAGGAGAAUUAGUAAUAAUAUCAUUAUUGCCCAAGAAAUCACUCAUUCCUUUACUCUUAAUUCUUGGAACACUCCUGCCUUUAUGCUUAAAAUUGAUCUGGCAAAAGCUUUUGAUCGUCUUGAGUGGAAUUUCAUUAUAUCGGCUUUAACGCGAAAAGGGUUGCAUAGUCAUUUCAUUCAUCUCAUCCAUGCAUGCAUAGCUACUCCUGUUUUCUCUGUUGUCAUUAAUGGUCAAUCUUAUGCGAGAUUCAGAAGUAGUAGAGGUAUAAGACAAGGAUGCCCUCUUUCACCUUAUUUGUUUGUCCUUGCCAUAAAUGAGCUCUCAAUAUCCUUGCAAGAAGCCAUGACAGCCAACCACUUGUCAGGUAUAUCUCUUGGACCUUAUUGCCCCCCAAUCCAUUCUCUCAUGUUUGCUGAUGAUCUCCUUGUUUGUGGUCUGGCCACGAUAGAGGAAGCUAAUACUAUGAAUGAGAUUAUACGUUCUUUUUGUAUUAUCUCUGGUCAAACCCCCAACUGGACCAAAUCAGGUAUUCUGUUUAGUAAAGGUGUGGAUCCUAGUAUACAACUUACAAUCAGAAAUAUCUUUCCAGUUCCCAUCAUUGAUAAUCAUUUCACUCAUUUAGGUCACCCUCUCAUUCUCCCAGCUAAAGAUAGGUCCUCAGCUUAUAAUUUUGUUAUUGACAAAUUCAAAUCCAAGCUCCCAACCUAUAAAGCCAAUAAACUUUCACAUGCUGGUAGACUCACUCUUAUUAAUUCAGUUUUUGCUUCUAUUCCCAUUUAUUAUAUGUCAAAUAUUCUCUUCCCCAAAAAAUUCUUGGCCAAACUUACUGCUAUCAUUAGGAACUUCUGGUGGACAGGAGUUAGGGAAGAAGCUAAUGCCAAAUCUCUUUGUCUUAGAGCUUGGAAGGACAUUUGUGCUCCAAAAAAUGAAGGGGGACUAGGAAUCAAGAAUAUUCAAGCUACCAACAGGUGUCUCAUUCUUGCAGCUGCUUGGAGAAUUGUUGAAAAGCCUGACAGCCAUCUAUCAAAAAUCUUAAAAUCUAAAUACUUUCCUGACUCCUCUCUUUGGAGAGCCAAUUAUAAUGUUCCCAAAUCUGCCUUUUGGGCCUCCAUUCUUAAAGUUAGGCCAAUUCUUAUUAGAAAUUCUUUUUUCCAAAUCAGGGCUGGCAAUAUCUCUCUUUGGAGCUCUCCGUGGUUUAACACUUGGGAAAGUAUUUAUGAUCAUCUCAUAAUUCAAGAUAAUGAUUUUAUCUAUCCGGCUCUUAUUAGAGAUCUUUGGAUUCCAGGGCAGAAAAAAUGGAAUGCUAAUCUCAUAGAUCUUUUAUUUGAUUCUGAUACAGCUAAUUCCAUCAAGCAGGUGCCAAUCAUACAGGAAGAAGGUGAAGAUAUUUUAUGUUGGAAACACACACCAACAGGGAAAUUCACUACAAAAAGUGCAUAUAAAACUUGUUUCCAGGUCUUGCAAGAGGAAGGAGAGCCACAACCUAGAACUCUAAACAAUAAUUUAAAAGAACUCUUAAAGCAGGUAUGGAAGGACAGAAAUAUGGCUCCUAGAAUCCAAACAUUUGCAUGGAGACUGGUAAGAAAAGCUUUACCUACAGGGAAGAGAGCAGGUAAGUAUUCUAAGCACAUUAGUAAGUUCUGCUCAAGAUGUGGCUUAGAAGAGGAUGAGAUGCACAUAUUUUUCAACUGUGUUUAUGCUAGAGCUGCAUGGUUUGCAAACCCCUGGUACAUUAGAACUGAUUUGUUGUGUCAGAAUUUAGAUUCUUUAGUUACUACCAUCUUAAACUUAGCUAAUUCAAAUCAUCCAAAUGCAACCUUAAGUAAUAUUUUCACUUUUUUGUGGUGCCUUUGGAAGUUCAGGAAUGACAAAGUUUUUCAAAGAAAAGAUGCAUCUCCAAUACAGGUCUUCCAUGCGGCUCAAGCAAUCAUAAACAGUUUGUCUUUGGAACAAAAUAUAAAUAUGCAGGAAACAGCUACUUCUGAAACAGGAAAGGAUUGCAAGCAUAAGGAAGACAAAUAUGUUCAAGGGAAUACAGUUAAUCUGACUGAAAUUUCAACCUCAACGAAAAUAUUCACGGAUGCAGCUUGGAAUAAACAGGAACAAUCAAGUGUGAACGGAACAGGGAAAACAGGUAUAGGGAUAUCCAUAGAAGGACAAGAAAGACGAACAAAAUGGCAGAUCAAGAUUUCCGCAACAGCAAUGCAAGCUCAAUCAGCGAUACAUGCCGAAGCCUUGGCGAUCAAGUUAGCAGCCAUCAUCAUAAACAUGACAGGAAUACAUGAGGCUGCCAUUCUAACGGAUAAUUUAACUUUAGCAAAAGCAGCAGCGGCAAGGGAACCAACCAAGCAGCCUGGACACUGGAUGAUUAGAGGUAUAUUAGCAGAUUUCUGUGCCCUCACAAGCUCAAGCCAUGUCCAGGUAUUCCAUGUAAGAAGGAACCAAAACUCGGUAGCUCAUGAUGCAGCAAAGCUAGCUUAUUCGCAGGAAUUUAAUCCAAAUCAACACUGUGUAACUACUUGUACUAUUGCUGAACAUCAACGCUGGCAUCAUUCCCUGAAGCAGGUUAUCCAAGAUGUAUCACAAAAGGGUUAUGCCAUUAAUCAUGCUUGA